AAAUAAAACAGUGUGUGCCUGAGAUGGUUUUGAUUCCAAGAAUUAUAAAACAUAUUUUUUAAAAAGAGAGAACAAGAUGGAGAGAGAAAUGGAAGAGGAGGUGGGGGAGAAGGCCAGAUUGGAGCAAAUUGGGCACAGAUGGGGGAUGCAAUGGAGUUUUAGUGAUGCCCUACCACAAAUGUUGCUUCAAUUUUUCCUCUUCAAGAAACGUGAGUUUUAUUUCCUUAAAUUACAUAUUUUUUAAAAAAUUAAAAUUCUUGGAGUGCUUGUGGUUUAGAUCAACAGCUCAUCCUCCAGAAUCACAUCAGCCAAUCAGAUGGCUCCUGAAGUGUUAAAUACUGAGGCCCUUUCUCCCUUUAGGCUCAGCAAUGCCUUAGAGAGAUUACCAAUUGUGACAUCACUCUGGGAACCACCUAUCUCACCACUAGCUUUGGACAUGAGCCAGGUACUGCAUCUAUGGGAAAGGCUCAGGUACAGAUUGAGAGGAUUUAGACCAUAAGGAUUUGGGCCAUAAGAUCACCUCUGCUUCAGGCUGGAAUGCUCCUUCUCCAGAGUCCAGGAACUGACAUAUGCAAACACCCACCCAGAAGGACACGUCCAAGAAGAAAUGGAAAGAAAAAUGAUGGCCCAGAUGUUCUGUAACUUGCAGUGACUGCCAAAUCACCACAGACCCCAAGCACCUGGGAGGGCCAGGCAGCAUCAGGCCCUCACUUCCUGGUUUCAGGCAGCCAGGGACCCACGGCCAGGUGGUGACUCCGACAGCAUGCAGACUGGCCUGGAGAGAACCUUUAGAAGGGCACAGGCUGACGGGACUUGAGGGCUGAACAUGCAGGGCUGAUUUAUCACUUCCUUACUCAUAAAAAUGUGAUUCAAACUGCU